rnacentral:lncRNA from 1 species
AGUUAAAUGAACUAAAGUAAUAAGUAAAAUAAAAAGCAGUACACAAAAAAACUUACUUAAUAUUUGAAAAACUUUAAUAUAUUGUUCACUUCAAGACUUCAACAUUUAAUAUAAAUAUCCUGUAGUUUCCAUGACUGAAUAUUUCUCCUUUUUUCUGUAUUGCGUUUCUGUCAUAAAACGUGUGGAGAAAUGAUUAGCUAAUAAAGUAAGUUUACUUUACACUUAUCUACUGUUGCUAAAGCACAUAAAAGAAAAAAAAAAUAGUUAAACGUGAAUAUAUCCUAGAUUCAAUAAACAGUUUUAGUCAAAAGGGUUUUGGUCAACUUUUUGCUGUUGUUUAUCGUGUAGAAUUAAAUCAUUAGCAACGCACGUGACCUCAAUUCGGCGCGAGAUUGUGUUGUGGGAGCCCUGAAGACGUAAUGGCGAACUUGAAGGUUUACGUCGAGCUGUUUGUGUAUUUUGUGGAUAAUAUUCAGGACAAAUGAUGGAUGGUCUUGCCCUGACAUGCCUAUGAUCAUUUUGAAGCAGCACAAAAACUCCCAAGCAGAUAUGGAUACGUCUCCACUGGAGCUCCACCAGGUCAGGAGAUGUUGUUUUUGUCUAUCCUUGCUUCUAUAUUUACCACGACUUCAUGACCGUGUUUUGUUCAUGCCGGGCAAUGUUUCUGUGGUCUAUCUGAUCUGAUAACUCGUCCACAGUCUGAGAGACAUGAUUUUUUGACCUGGUAUCUGGUUUCAUGAGAAGCUUUGACCACUUGUCACAAACCCGUAGAUCCGAUCUUGUGGCGUAAUCGGCAACCCAAGCUCGAUUCUGUGGGUCUCUGUCACUGUGGUGAACUCGACGCACUCUUUGAACUCAACAAAGCAGUGGUGCUUUUUCAGGUGGUGCACCACAGGGAUUUAAAAAAAAGCAGAAACCAACAGCUAGCAUCAUUAACAGUGCACAGAGGAACAUUUAUAUAUACUUCUGUCAAACAGGCUCGCUUUUACCAAGUCCAAUAAUUUUACAGACGCAGGGUGUCCGCAUGCUCUUAAAAAGUCUUAAAGUCCACAUUAACCGGAAGCUGCGACCAUUUUUUUCUGUAUUGUGAUGCAGUUCCUAGAGAAACUAAAUAUUAAAUGAGAAAACAGUGGGUGUGGCUUGUUUUUUUACUGCUGCAAGCUGAUUGGAUGUAGUAAAGUAGACAUUUUUGUUGGGAAAGACGCUAAAGGUGAGUUAAAUAAGCUAAAUUGGCUGUAGUGUAUGAGUGUGUGGGAAUGAGAGUGUGUAUGGGUGUUUCCCAGUACUGAGUUGUGGCUGGAAUAGUUGGCGAUUCACACCUGAAAUAGAGACUAAGCCAAAAGAAAAUGAAUGAUGAUUGAAUAAUAUUAUUGAAUUAUUUGCGGUCUUUUAUAAGAAAUUUGUUAACCAAAAAAAUGUAAUUGGAUCUCAAUUGUAAACCUAAACCCAUUUAAACCCACC